rnacentral:rRNA from 1 species
CAAUAGCGUAUAUUAAAGUUGUUGCAGUUAAAAAGCUCGUAGUUGGAUUUCUGGCUGGGCGCCGAUGUGACACAAAGUGCUCACAAGGCACCGGCCAUCCUUCUGUAAACUAGGUUAGUCUUUGAUUAGACUGCUUAGGGAUCAGAUAAUUUACCUUGAGAAAAUUAGAGUGUUUCAGGCAGGCUUAGCCGGAAUACAUUAGCAUGGAAUAAUGGAAUAGGACUAUGGUCUCGUUGUUGGUUUGAGGGAUCGCAGUAAUGAUUAAUAGGGAUAGUUGGGGGCAUUAGUAUUUAUUAGCUAGAGGUGGAAUUCUCUAAUUUAAUAAAGACUAACUUAUGCGAAAGCAUUUGCCAAGGAUGUUUUCAUUAA